rnacentral:lncRNA from 1 species
AAUUACAAUGGAUUUAUGGUAUAAAUAUAAAACGAAUAUAUUAUGAGGCAAACAACUGUUCUGCGCAUUUGGUUAGGCGCUAUGUUAUAAUUAGCAAGGUCACUGGUUCGAAUCUCUACCAGCUUUCUUUUUUUUGUGUUUUUCUAUAGUUUCUUUCUUUAAGGUAUAUAGUUUCUUUCUCUUUUUUUUGUCUUUUUCUGUAGUUUCUUUCUUUAAGGUAUAUAGUUUCUUUCUCUUUUUUUUGUGUUUUUCUAUAGUUUCUUUCUUUAAGGUAUAUAGUUUCUUU